rnacentral:lncRNA from 1 species
ACACAUUUAUCUUCUAUUUACCUUUUCGGCUUCACGCCAUUGCAUUAGGAGUAGGAGUAAUGUAGCUUCUCGACGAGUUCCUUCUAGCAAGCUGGGCUGCAUCGACCUCGAUCUCCGGCGAGCUGCAAGUUCCGUCACCAGGUGUUCUAGGCUUUAACCACCCGGCGCAUCGCUGUGGUUUCGUCUAGUUUCAUCUACCAGUUAUCGAGUAUCUUGGAUCUUUGACUUACGGCGCAUCGCUUCUGUCUCGAUCUACGGUAUUCACCAGUUAUCCCGCCUUGAUUAAGCUUGCAUCGGCUGAUAUUUAUCUGUUCUUUCGUCUUGCCGUUCAGUUUGCUUUAAUUAGCUUUAGAUCGGUUCAUCAUAGACGAUAGAUGAUUUAAUAGCCUGUUGCAUCUUAAUCUUGGUUACCCCUUCGAGUGUUGUUGGGAGUAAGUUCCAUUGUGAUUGGAUUCAUCAGCUGGCGGGGUUCAGAUUAACGUCCUGCUAAAUAUUUCUAGACUGCAACUACCGGGCGCAUCGCUGUGGUUUCACCCAAAAAUAUUGGUGGUGAUGUUAGUUUAGAUCUCAUCGGCUUGUGGCUCUAGCUAUGGUGGAGCAACAACUCAACAGCAUCGUGUUUCCUAUCGGCCGUAUGGCUGAUGGUUAUUGUAAAUUAUAUUAAAUCGGCCUGAUCGGCCGACUCCAUCGAACUUUGAGAGAAUUAUCUCCACCUUGUCAGUUGAAUGGUCAAACUGACUGGCACGCCCGCGCACGCCAUGCGCGCCAAUUUGGAUUCUGCACUGGAGUUAAGCAGAUCUCCCAGGCCUUUCGUGUGUUAGUACGUGAAGGUCAUCGCUUGAUUUUUGCGUCAACACAUUUUGGCACGCCCAGUGGACACGAGAAAGCAUUGGCUGAUUAAAAAUGCAUCGGUCAAUUGGAAUAAAAAAAGGAGUUGUAUCGGCUGAUUACAGAAAAUAUCGACCGAUUACAAAAAUCGGCUGGCUUCUUUAUUUACAUUGCUUGUUUUCAGCCGAUGGACAUAAAAGAGCAGCCGAUGGACAAAGGAACAAAUGAAAAAAAAAAGAAAGAGAAGCAGUCGGCCGAUGGGAAAGGAAUAAAUGAAUUUUAAAAAAGGGAGCAGUCGGCCGAUGGAAUAUAAUCGGCAAGCAUAGUGGCCGAUGGAAUUAUUUUUUAGCCAAUGGAACUUUUUUUUUCAGCCGAUAGAAGUAUUUUUCAGCUGAUGCAACAUUUUUUUUAGCCGAUUGGAAAAGCUCCAGCGGGUGGGCAAGAGAGAAAUAAAAAAAAUGCAUCGGCAGUUGCAUCGGCUGAUUGGAAGAAUUAAAAGGGAUCGGCCGAUUGGAAAUUGCAUCGGCUGAUGGAAAAUGGGAUCGGCCGAUUGGAGUUGUAUCAGCUGAUAAAGAAAAAAAAACAUUGGCCGAUCGUAGAGAAAGACAUCGGCCGAUUAGCAUCAGUCAGUUGGAAUUGGAAGAAAAUAAAAGUGGCAUCGGCCGAUGGAAAAUUGGUAUUGACGAUUGAAGGAAAAAAAAAACAGAGAGCGUGGCAUCGGCCGAUGGAAAAUUGGUUCAGCCGAUUGAAAAAAGAAAGAAAGAAAGAAAAAAGUGGGGCAUCGGUCAUUCGUGUGUCAAAAAAAAACAAAAAAAAAAGAGAGGGACAUCGGCCAUUCAUGCGUCUCCUUAUUGAUAAAAAAAUCAGCCCAUUGAAAAUUGGAUCGGCCGAUCAAAAGUUGUAUCGGCUGAUUAAAAUAUAUAUAUAUAUAUAUAUAUAUAUAUAUAUAUAUCGGCUGAUUGAAAUAAGGAAAGCAUCGGCUGACUGGUUCAAAAGAUGCAUUGGCCGAUUGAGAUAAGGGAAGCAUUGGCUAAUUAAAUACAUACAGCCGAUUGGGAUAUAUAUAUAUAAAAAAAAGGGUAUCGGCUAAUUGAGAAAAGUGCAUCUGCCGAUUUGGAUAAAAAAGGGGAGUUGAAUCGGCUGCUCAAGCAUCGGCUGCCUAUUUAAUAUUCUCCCACAGCUGAUGGGAGAGAUGGAAGAUUUUUCAGCCAAUGCAAUAUUUUUCAGCCGAUGGAAUUGCUAACGUUGGCUGGCCAUAUAAAUAGCUAAUGUUGUUUUUUUUGUUAUCGGCCAGUUCAAAGGAAAGCAUGGAUCAGCUGGCCGAUGGAAAGAGCCGAUGGAAAAAAAAAUUCCAAAGAAAACAAGUAUCGGCAGGUAUAAUGGCCGAUGGGAUAUUGAAGAGAAGUAAAUAAAAGAGGAAAAGGAGAGCAGCCGAUAGGAGUUCAGCCGAUGGGCAAAGGAAUAAAUAAAAGAAGAAAAAAUAAGCGGAAGCAGCUAGCCGAUGGCAACCAAAAAAAAAACAGUCAACGGAUGGAAGGAAUUCAGCCGAUUGCUACUUGCCAUAUUUUCAGCCGAUGGUGCUACUUUUUUCAGCCGAUAACACUACUUGCUUGCCAUAUUUCAGCCGAUAAAGCUAAAUUCCAGCUACUGAUAUGAAAGCACUUCCGGCCGAUUGGUUCAAGCAAAAUUGCAUCGGCUGAUCCCGAUUGGUUCAAGCAAAAUUGCAUCGGCUGAUUGGUUCAAGCAAGAUAGUAUCGGCUGCUUAUAAAAUAUAUUGGAUAUUAAUUUCGAAGCAUGAAAUAUUCAUACUUCGAAACUGGGGGGCCUAUGUUGACAACAAAAGCUUGCUGGUUACUGCACCAAGUUUUGGUGUCAACAGACUAAUUUAUUGUUUCUACUGCCGGCAAUGCCGAUGGUGUUCUUUAUAUUUGAAGAGGAGUCGACGUGGCUUUGGAUAUUGCAAUCAGACGUCAUUAGCUCUGAAGACAAGUAUCAGACUUCUAUAAUUAGUUUUGGAACAUGAAGCAUUCAUACUCCGAAGCUGGGGGGCCUGUGUUGACACCGGAUUUUGACCAAUCCUAUAAAUUCAGAGUACGAGAUAAUCGGAGUCACGUACAACAAUAAGAAGCAAGCAUGCAUGCACAUGGGCACGGAGUCCAAAUCGGCUUCAUUGGAUUGAUCGGCAAGGAGAGGCAAGGAUGAUAUAAAGGAAAGGCCAGCACGUAUGGAUAAAAAUGAUAAGAAUAUACAACAUGGAUUCUGGUGCACUUUGCAUGCCAUGCGUGGGAGGCUUCCAGAAUAAUUAUGCAUGCCGAUCUGUGCAUGUACGGAAGGUUGUUUCAUAGAAUAAAAUAUUUUAGAGAUAGAGUUGGGUUAGUUAGAGAUAGAGUUUUUUAUUUGAAAAGAUUGUGUACGUGACUUGCCUUGUGCGUGGUUAGAUGCCAAUUAUGUAACGUCCGCCCUAUAAAUAUAAAGGGACGUGGCCAUUGUAAAGAAUAAUCACACGAUCAAUAUACAACACAUUUAUCCUUUAUUUACCUUUUCGGCUUCACGCCAUUAAAUUAGGAGUAGGAGUAAUGUAGCUUCUCGACGAGUUCCUUCUAGCAAGCUGGGCUGCAUCGACCUCGAUCUCCGGCGAGCUGCAAAGUUCCGUCACCAGGUGUUCUAGGCUUUAACCACCGGGCGCAUCGCUGUGGUUUCGUCUAGUUUCAUCUACCAGUUAUCGAAUAUCUUGGAUCUUUGACUUACGGCGCAUCGCUUCUGUCUUGAUC